rnacentral:misc_RNA from 1 species
UCCGGUUUGUCACCGGCGGUCCCCUUAGAGUUCCCAACUGAAUGCUGGCAACUAAGGGCAAGGGUUGCGCUCGUUGCGGCACUUAAGCCAACACCUCACGGCACGAGCUGACGACAGCCAUGCAGCACCUGUGCUGGGCCCUUACGGACACGGGCUUUCACCCGCUUUACCCAGCAUGUCAAGCCUGGGUAAGGUUCUUCGCGUAGCCUCGAAUUAAACCACAUGCUCCACCGCUUGUGCGGGUCCCCGUCAAUUCCUUUGAGUUUUAGCCUUGCGGCCGUACUCCCCAGGCGGGGCACUUAAUGCGUUAGCUCCGGCACGGGAGGAGUCGACACCUCCCACACCUAGUGCCCAUCGUUUACGGCGUGGACUAC